AAACCGUGAUGAGGACACUCUAAGAGAAGGUCUUUAAAACGCUCCAUACAUCAAGAAAAUGAUUCAUUUGGUUGCUGGCGAAACUGGAAAAUGUCGUUCCUAAUUCU
rfam:Cephalotus follicularis DNA, scaffold: scaffold85, isolate: St1.